rnacentral:rRNA from 1 species
ACAUGCCUACAACAUAGAGUUAAUGUACCAAAUCCCAUUAGAACUCCGCAGUUAAGCGCACUCAGGCUAGAGUAGUACUGGGAUGGGUGACCUCCCAGUAAGUCCUAAUGUCUUACAUGCC